GGAGCGUGCGCGCGCCCCGGCUUCCCUUUCUCGCCUCGCACGUACCUGACCCGCUUGCAGAUGGGUGACCAAAACUGCACACAAUACUCACCAAGAAGAGAGAAUCUGCAGACGCUGGAAAUCCAAGCAACACACACAAAAUGCUGAAGGAACUCAGCAGGCCAGGCAGCAUCAAUGGAAACGAGUACAGUCGAUGUUUCAGGCAGAAACCCUUCAUCAGGACUGGAGGAAAAAAGACGAGAAGUCAGAGUGAGAAGGGGGAAAACUGGAAACUUAAACAAGGUCUGUUCUACCAUUCAGGAAGUUCAUGCCUGAUCCUCGGAUCUAUUUUCUCUCACCACCUGCCCCCUCCCCGCAGUGGUGUCCACAAGUUUCAACAGUCUCAACAAUCAAGCAUCCACUCUGGGAAAUACUACACUCUGGAGUGACCACCUUUUUUUUGAGGAAUACCAAGCAAUAAUGCAGGGAAGGGAAGGAACACCUCAGCAACAAUAGCCACCCUUUUCAUUAACAUCACAAUGAACUCCAAGAUCAAAGACUGAAAACUGAAUUGGUUCUAUAUCAGACUAACAAUGAUCAUGAAAAUCACACUGGCUUUUUGGUAUUAUCAUAAAUUUUAAGUUGUUAAAAAGCUUUGUUUAGAUUAGUGUCACAAUGUGUAAAUGAUGGUGAGCAUUAAACAUCCAAACAAAAUAACAGUUUCAUUACAAUUAUUUAUAAGGUGUGAUUGAUAAGUUUGUGGCCUAGGGUAGAAGAAGUCAAUUUUAGAAAACCUA